UCCAUUCCCACUGCAGUAACCCCACAGUGCCCCAUGGAGUGUGGGUAUUCCCAUGCAGAGCUGCUGCCUUGGACAGCAGCUGUGUCAGGAGCCAGCAGAGCUUCCAAGGAGGCUCAGCAGCACAGGGACAAGGACAGGGUUCUAUUCCAUAGAACUGGCUAUUUAGAACCCUCACCCCAAUGGUGUCCCUGGGCUCACUGGACAGAGCUGCCUGGAAUGGAGCUGAUUUCACCCCCCUGAGCUCCAGGAUGGAGAAGAUGCAGUUGGUGUUUUAAAGCAGGAGAAGGCAGUGGCCAGAUGUGCUCCCAGCCUGUGCUGAGGCAGCCCCUGUGCCCAGGAAAGGGAUCUGCAUCUCUGUCUUCAGCACACCUCCAGUGGGACCUACCUGUGAAAGCUUUCCAUGACAUCUGCACUUCCAGCUGGAUCCCUGGAAAACUCCAAACUCCAUCCCACUGAUUUUCAGGAGCUUCUGGCCUCCUCCUGCCCUGCGCUCCCAGCCAGCUGGGACACACUGAGGGAACACCAAGGAGCAUCGCUGGCAGCAAGCAGGAGAGACACCAAGGCCUCUGGGCCAGAAAAACAGCCCUGGCCUCAGCAGCCAUCAUCGUUUUGACCUGGCAACACUCACCUGCAGGAAACACCCCCACCACUCUCCAGAAGAACUUUGGCCACAGAGCAAGGUGACCCUCAGGAGUUGUCUUGUUCCUGGGGAAACAAAGGGACAUUGUGUGAGCACAUUUACAGCUGCUGGGUAAAUCCUGGAAAGGGCAGAAAAAGCAGGGUUGUGGGGAAGAGUUUGGUGCUGACAUGUUGAGUGCCAGCCAGUUCUGCCCUACAGCCAUUGCAGGGGCUGGUGUGUAAAGCAGCAUUAGCAGAAGGGAAGGAGCUGCAUUUGUAGAGGAGUUCUCUUACUGGCAGCAGUCAUUCCCAUCCCUCACAAGACCUUUGGAACAACCCUGGGAUUGGCUCAGGUGUUUGGAGCAGGGUGCUGAGAAGGCCAGAAUUCCGUGUUCCAUGUGCAGCUGGGCAGUCAUUUCUCAGCAUUUGAUUUGAUGAUCCUCACAGCUUUGGAAAUAAAGAACAAAUAGUUUUCACUGUUUUUUUAA